UACGGAGGGUGCAAGCGUUGUCCGGAUUUAUUGGGUUUAAAGGGUGCGUAGGCGGUUAAUUAAGUCAGUGGUGAAAUCCUGGAGCUCAACUUCAGAACUGCCAUUGAUACUGGUUGACUUGAGUACAGACGAGGUUGGCGGAAUUGAUGGUGUAGCGGUGAAAUGCAUAGAUACCAUCAAGAACACCGAUUGCGAAAGCAGCUAACUAGGCUGUAACUGACGCUGAGGCACGAAAGUGUGGGGAUCAAACAGG
rnacentral:rRNA from 1 species